CGGAGGGGGCUAGCGUUGUUCGGAAUUACUGGGCGUAAAGCGUGCGCAGGCGGCUUUGCAAGACAGAUGUGAAAUCCCCGGGCUUAACCUGGGAACUGCAUUUGUGACUGCAUGGCUGGAGUGCGGCAGAGGGGGAUGGAAUUCCGCGUGUAGCAGUGAAAUGCGUAGAUAUGCGGAGGAACACCGAUGGCGAAGGCAAUCCCCUGGGCCUGCACUGACGCUCAUGCACGAAAGCGUGGGGAGCAAACAGG
rnacentral:rRNA from 1 species